AUGGGCUCCAUUUCCCUGCAGCCCCGAACAGACCAGCUCCUUUCACUCCUGGAAGUGCCGAUGAAAGGCCGAUGUCAGUGUUUCCCUUCCGACCCUCGGGGUGGACUUCGUCCGUCUCGUUGUGAGCUCAGAACACAGCUGCUCACCUAUUUCCAAACAUGGCUCCUUAUCUACUCGGCCUUGUUUGCCCACGUCAAAUCCUCAGACUCAGCCGCGUGCCAGAGGACGUCAACGGCACCCGUGAAGGACGGGAGACGGACUGAACCAGGGCUCCUCCGUCUGCAGCACAACUCGUACUCGGACAGAAGAAAUGAAUGGACCAAUCCUCUUACCGGGUCCAUUCGUCAGGUGCGGCGGCGUGUGAUGCAGAGCCGAGGAGGGUUUAAGCUUUGUCCUGCGGGGGCCGGGCCUCCGGGCUGCCAGCGGGAGAUCUGCCUCCUGUUUUUAGAACGAGGCCCUAUGGGCGGCCAUCGUGAUUACCUCUAAUUCUGCUGUCUAGCCUUCUAAUUGGUGACGUCAGUCCGUGGGUGUGUGCGUAAUUGAAGACUGGGGCACAAAGACAGGAAGCAGGAAGGCAAAGAGUGAUGCCGAGAGGAAAACAAAGAAUGAGCUGGAAACAUUUUCUGCGCACAUGUUCCACAUUAUCGGAAGAAAGGCAGAAAAAAAAAUGUCAGCCCUCUCUUUUUUCUUCUCUUCUAACAAGACAAAUACUUCUGACUGAAGACUAUUUACCACACUGACGUUUAGUGUGUGUGCGCGUGUGUGUGUGUGUGUGUUUAAUACUGGCCUUGCGGUGACCCUGCGCUCAUCUAACAGAUCAAGUGGUGCCUCCAGUGCUCACUCUAAUCUAUCUGAUGCGGGGAAUGAUGUGUACUUUUGAGUGAUGUGUGAGAACAGAACAAACCACUGCUCUGACAUCCUCUUGGCUAAGAUGCGGAGGUUUCCCCCUCCCGAGGGAUCAGUCAAGCACAAACCAAAUCGACCAGGAAACAACGUCGACCUAAAUCAUUUUGUAAUGCAGAUCUUCCCUUGUGAUAUUUCAACACAAGGCUGGCUUUUUCCUGCUAUAGGUGAAAGAUCAUUUGUCAUAUUUGAGGAUGAAAUACAAUUGAUGACAUUAAUUAAGAAAUUAAUUCAUGCUGAUCUUUGCAGGCACCCAAAGCAACGUACAGUGCCGUUACAGUGUCUCUGCUGCACUGCCACAUCUCACCACAAGGAGUCGCACUGGGGAUUUAUAGUGAUGAGGAGAGGAGAAAUUAUCUUCAGGAAAUCACUGAGCUUCACAUUAUCCAUGCGUCUUUAAUAUUGUCGGGAGCACUGGGAUGACAUAUGACAAACAACAACGGUCAAAGCCAGACUGUGCAGAUGGGACAACAAAAAUGAUUAUAAUUUUUACCAGAGCCACCAUGAGCCCAUGAUUCCUGGCAAGACACCAGGAAGCCUGUUUGCUCCAGACAGCUCUGUCUGUUUCCUUGUUGUACAGUAGUGAUGCUAGAGGUCUCUCUGUGGGUUCACAUGUUCAUUCACACACGCUGAGGCUCGUUCUUGACAAGAAGCCUCAGUUGUUGUGAAAAGUGCCUGCUGGUGUUGAUUUCACGCUCCACAUUUAAGACGGGCUGUGACCAAUGAAAUGACAGAGGCUGGAAAAGGCGAAUCAGUACUCGCUGAACUCGUUUCACGACGAUGUUAAUGUUUGAGAAUAUAAUUUUUUUUCCUUUAUAAAAAACCUUUAUUGACAAGACAGCAUUUCUGUAAGGGGGGGUAGAGUGUGGGGACAACAGGGGGUCGGGGUCGGAAACUCCUUUCAGUGUUAAAUCAAUGCACAGGUGCGAAUAGGGCUUGGAGAUAAGACUGGUCACUUAGUUGAAGUCAAGAGCUUUCAGUCGCUCAGCGCCCCACCUCUGGAACUCUCUGCCUCACUACAUCCAACACUCCACUUCCAUUACCACUUUCAAAUCUCACCUGAAAACCCAUCUUUUCAGACAGGCCUACUCCCUUUAAUUUCAUUUGCUUUGACUGGAACGACCCCACCCUUUCUCUUGUUUUUAUUAUUAUUAGUAUUAUUAUGUUGUUUUAUUGCCUGCUUUUAUGACUGCUUGUUGGAUGGACUGAGUGUUUUUAUUUUUGAUUUUGUAAGGUGACCUUGAGUGUUGAGAAAGGCGCCUAUAAAUAAAAUUAUUUAUUAUAAUUAUUACAAUUAAGUGUUAGAUUGAAGGUUAUUAUGUUUCUGAAUAGAAACUUAAAUCCCAACUGAAAACUACACAGCUAUAGGCCACAUAUCGGUUGAAUACCUAGUGACAGUGUCUGUCUGCUCUAGUGUUUUACAGUAUAUGUUUCAAAAAACACAUAUACAUUAUUUCUGUCUGAUAAAUGUCCAGGUCUUUCAAACUCCAAACACCCCCAGUGUGUAGCGCAGACUUAGAGUAAUGAAAUUCAAGUUUCAAAUCUGUGAUAACCCUGAUGACAUCACUGUGAUCAUCAUCAUCCUAAACUUUCCAUGAGUAUAAUGGGUAAAGUUCCACUUUAAUGCAACUCGAGGCACGUUACAAAGGGUGAGAGAGAUGAGAUAGCAGCCUGGAUUGCUGCAACAAUUGUGAUUAUUAAUAAUAAUAAUUAGUAUAGUAAUGACGAUGAGAGACACAGUGACUGAGGUGACAAAAAGCAACAAGCGAACCAUAACUAACAGUUACCGUAGAUGUGUGUGUGUGUGUGUGUGUGUGUGUGUGUGUGUGUGUGUGUGUGUGUGUGUGUGUGUGUGUGUGUGUGUGUGUGUGUGUGUGUGUGUGUGUGUGUGUGUGUGUGUGUGUGUGUGUGUGUGUGUGUGUGUGUGUGUGUGUGUGUGUGUGUGUGUGUGUGUAUUGUUUUAUUUGUUUUUCCUGGUCAGGGUCAUGGGCCUGGAAACAAACUUUUCACCAUGUCAACUUUACCAGAAUCAAGGACAUUUGAUUCAACUUUGUCUGUUAUGUGUUGUUCUCUUCUGUCAUGUCGGGUAUCCUGUUCAGUUCCGCCUGUGAUUUUUCCUGUGAAGGGUCUGUUUUCUUUUUCCCCCCUCAUUAGACCAAGCUUUGUUCCUGCAUCCUGCAUUUGGGUCCUGUUUCAUCGCCACACCCUGGCACACGCUCGCUUUCAACUUGGCAAUCUUUGUUCAACUGAUGUGUUUCCG
ensembl:lncRNA